CUUUGUCCUCUGCAGGGACAGCAGAAUGUCUUCCAGCCAAGACACCCUGGUGGUCUGUGAGGCCGUAGUCCACAGAGAAUCUGCCCGGAACCGACUGAUGGAGCCGCCGGUAGAUUGUUGCCUUUGACGACUGUAUGCAGCAAAGACCUGUUAUGUGUGACCAGGAAAAGCCUUAUGUAGAGGGCUUUGGAGAAAACAAUCAGCCGCGAUUGCUUACCGUUACAAGAACCUGAGACCGCAACACCAGCUGGGACAACCAGAGCCUGACCAAAAAAUCAAGGGAAAGAUGUGUGGAUUGGGAUGUCCACAGAGAGCUUUGAAAAGUUGUGGCUCUUGGUAUUAAUAAAUAAUUCCAGUGGCGUUAUGGCAUACAAGUUAUACUGGCAAAAAUCAAUUGUAU